rnacentral:rRNA from 1 species
UGGGGAAUAUUGGACAAUGGGCGCAAGCCUGAUCCAGCCAUGCCGCGUGAGUGAUGAAGGCCCUAGGGUUGUAAAGCUCUUUUGUGCGGGAAGAUAAUGACGGUACCGCAAGAAUAAGCCCCGGCUAACUUCGUGCCAGCAGCCGCGGUAAUACGAAGGGGGCUAGCGUUGCUCGGAAUCACUGGGCGUAAAGGGUGCGUAGGCGGGUCUUUAAGUCAGAGGUGAAAGCCUGGAGCUCAACUCCAGAACUGCCUUUGAUACUGAGGAUCUUGAGUUCGGGAGAGGUGAGUGGAACUGCGAGUGUAGAGGUGAAAUUCGUAGAUAUUCGCAAGAACACCAGUGGCGAAGGCGGCUCACUGGCCCGAUACUGACGCUGAGGCACGAAAGCGUGGGGAGCAAACA